UGAUCUGAGUUCAGACCGGCGUAANCCAGGUCAGUUUCUAUCCACGAAAGUUGCGCUUUUCUUAGUACGAAAGGACCAGAAAAGCAGUACCAAUUUUUCAAAAAAAGUACUAAAAAAAAGUUUUGAAAAAAAAAUGAAAAUUUUCACUAAAAAAUUUUACUUUU
rnacentral:rRNA from 1 species